rnacentral:rRNA from 1 species
CAGCAGCCGCGGUAAUACGAAGGGUGCAAGCGUUACUCGGAAUUACUGGGCGUAAAGCGUGCGUAGGUGGUGGUUUAAGUCCGUUGUGAAAGCCCUGGGCUCAACCUGGGAAUUGCAGUGGAUACUGGGUCACUAGAGUGUGGUAGAGGAUAGUGGAAUUUCCGGUGUAGCAGUGAAAUGCGUAGAGAUCGGAAGGAACAUCUGUGGCGAAAGCGGCUCACUGGACAAUAACUGACGCUGAUGCACGAAAGCUAGGGGAGCAAACAGGAUUAGAUACCCCUGUAGUCCCUGUCUCUUAUAC